UACCCAAGGAGGAAGCCACGGCUAACUAUGUGCCAGCAGCCGCGGUAAUACAUAGGUGGCAGGCGUUGUCCGGAAUUACUGGGUGUAAAGGGAGCGUAGGCGGGAUAUUAAGUUGGGUGUAUAAACUAUGGGCUCAACCCAUAGAGGCACUUAAAACUGGUAUUCUUGAGUGAAGUAGAGGCAAAUGGAAUUCCUAGUGUAGCGGUGGAAUGCGUAGAUAUUAGGAGGAACACCAGUGGCGAAGGCGAUUUGCUGGGCUUUAACUGACGCUGAGGCUCGAAAGUGUGGGGAGCAAACAGGAUUAGAUACCCUGGUAGUCCACACUGUAAACGAUGAUUACUAGGUGUGGGGGCGUCAAGCUUCCGUGCCGGAGUUAACACAAUAAGUAAUCCACCUGGGGAGUACGUUCGCAAGAAUGAAACU
rnacentral:rRNA from 2 species